UGCGGUGAGCAUUUUGCUUUUCUCGGAAGAAUUUAGACAUUAAUUUAAGCUUUUGUUUUAAUCGACUAAUUGCAAAUUUUUUUUUUUUCAGAAUGAAGAUGUUGGAGUGGUUUCGCCGGAGGUUCCGACGGAAGAAUGCGGUGGCGCCGGAGGGAGGGGGUUCCUCGGACGGCUCCAAUGAGACCGGUAGUUCGGUGUCGUUGGGGACCUCCGACCGAGAGGCAGUCGAAAGACUUUACCAAAUGCUUGUGGAGUUGAACUCUGCCGAAGACGCUCCCGUCUUCGGGGGAGUUCUGAGUCCAUUCCACUUGGUGAAUGUCGUCAGGAGUCAGCCAGCCACAGACCUUGUUGUGGAAGACGUAGAGAGUGUCGAGUUCUCUUGGAGUUCGACGUCACUUUCUACUUUCGCGACGUCUUCUGCCUCUGCGUCCGCGCUCGCGAGCUCGUCGCCAUCGUUUUUCCGAAGGCGGAACGGGGAAGCAUCGGAGGAGAGCGCCGCCGAAGUCGAGGAACCGCGGGUUUGUUGCUGCGGGUGGCUGCGGAUCCCUCGGCCUAGGCGGUGAUCCUCUUCGAUUUUCCCCAACUCGUCCUUUUCACCCGGAUGCGACAUUCUGACCGGAUUCGACACUUUUCACCCGGACAUGACCUCUUUACUCGGACGUGGCCUUCUCUUACCCGGAUGUUCUCACGGACUUGUCUCCCGAACGUGACACUCGAUCGACGACAACGGAUUUGACUUCCGAUUGUGACCACCCGGACUUGACACGUUUCUUCACCGGACGCGACAUUCGGCCGACCUUUCUUCCCAAACAGCUGUUACGAGGAUUGAGCUUCUGGUUAGGUUAGGUUAGGUUAGGUUAGGCUAGGCUAGGUCAGGUCCUUCGCUCUCCUCAUGACACUGUUCGGGAAGAAAGACUAUCUGAUAAAGGUAAUAAUGUUGACCUUAGAUAAUAAAUGAAUCAACUUCUCCUUUUCUCACUGUCUUUGUGUUUUGUAGGAACAUUUGGGAGGGAGAAGGAUCUCCCUCCCCAACUUUACCACGAAGAGGACGAAGUGGCCAUUUAUCGCACAAGUGAAUGUUUUCCGAAAUCUCCGAUGACAUGCCGAAGAUGUUCUUGGAUCGCACACACACACACACACACACGCACGGAUAUAACAUCACUGUACACGAAGAUAUACACCGUUUAACCUUUACUCGAAUUCUCGCACUCACGCAUUUACACGUCAAGCGCCACGUUCUGUGUAAUUCCACACAAUGAAACAACCCGAACACAC